CGGCCCGUGGCUUAAUGACUACGGCACCCGCCUCAUAAGCGGAAGGUACCGGGUUCGAUUCCCGACCGGUCUC
rnacentral:tRNA from 1 species